CACACGUGUGCUCUUUCACUUUCCCAUCAAUGGUUAAAUACCUUCUGGCUUAAAAUCAGAAACAGAAGGGUUUAUCAUAGCAGCCCAAGAUCAAUGCCUACCUACAAGAAGCUACCAGGCCAACAUAUUAAAGAAGGGCAGUAGCC